rnacentral:rRNA from 1 species
UACGUAGGGAGCAAGCGUUGUCCGGAAUCAUUGGGCGUAAAGCGCGCGUAGGUGGCCCGGUAAGUCCGCUCUGAAAGUCACAGGCUCAACCUGUGAAAGCGGGUGGAUACUGCCGGGCUAGAGUCCGGAAGAGGCGAGUGGAAUUCCUGGUGUAGCGGUGGAAUGCGCAGAUAUCAGGAGGAACACCAAUGGCGAAGGCAGCUCGCUGGGACGGUACUGACGCUGAGGCGCGAAAGCGUGGGGAGCGAACAGG